GAAUUUUGGACAAUGGGCGAAAGCCUAAUCCAGCAAUGCCGCGUGCAGGAUGAAGGCCUUCGGGUUGGAAACUGCUUUUGUCCGGAACGAAAAGCUUUGGGUUAAUACCCGGGCGUAAUGACGGUACCGUAAGAAUACGCACCGGCUAACUACGUGCCAGCAGCCCCUGUAAUACGUAGUGUGCAAGCGUUAAUCGGAAUUACUGGGCGUAAAGCGUGCGCAGGCGGUUUUGUAAGACAGAGGUGAAAUCCCCGGGCUCAACCUGGGAACUGCCUUUGUGACUGCAAGGCUAGAGUACGGCAGAGGGGGGUGGAAGUCCGCGUGUAGCAGUGAAAUGCGUAGAUAUGCGGAGGAACACCGAUGGCGAAGGCAACCCCCUGGGCCUGUACUGACGCUCAUGCACGAAAGCGUGGGGAGCAAACAGG
rnacentral:rRNA from 1 species